AGAGUUUGAUCAUGGCUCAGGACGAACGCUGGCGGCGUGGAUUAGGCAUGCAAGUCGAACGGUAUGGUGCUUUCGGGCAUCAGAGAGUGGCGAACGGGUGAGUAACACGUAGGUGAUCUACCCUCAAGACGGGGACAACCCAGGGAAACUUGGGCUAAUACCGGAUGAUAGCAGCAGCGAUGUUGUUUAAAAGAUGGCUUUCGGGCUGUCGUUUGGGGAUGAGCCUGCGUCCUAUUAGCUAGUUGGUGUGGUAACGGCACACCAAGGCGAUGAUAGGUAGGCGGCCUUAACGGGUGGUCGCCCACACUGGGAUUGAGAUACGGCCCAGACUCCUACGGGAGGCAGCAGUCGAGAAUAGUCUACAAUGGUCGGAAGACUGAUAGUGCGACGCCGCGUGAACGAGGAAGCCCUUCGGGGUGUAAAGUUCUUUUAUAUGUGAGCAGUGGUUUCUACGUGAAUAGCGUGGGAUCAGGGAUAUUAGCAUAUGAAUAAGCAACGGCUAACUCCGUGCCAGCAGCCGCGGUAACACGGGGGUUGCGAGCGUUGUCCGGAAUUACUAGGCGUAAAGGGCAGGUAGGCGGAUCUAUAAGUUUUUUGUCAAAUUCAACGGCUCACCCGUUGCGUGGCAGGAGAUACUGUAGAUCUGGAAUGCGGUUGGGGAAGACAGAAUUCCUGUGUAGCGGUGGAAUGCGCAGAGAUCAGGAGGAAUACCUAARGCGAARGCAGUCUUCUAAGCCGUAAUUGACGCUAAACUGCGAA
rnacentral:rRNA from 1 species